CCUACGGGAGGCAGCAGUGGGGAAUAUUGCACAAUGGGGGAAACCCUGAUGCAGCGACGCCGCGUGAGUGAGGAAGGAUUUCGGGAUGGAAAGCUCUAUCAGCAGGGAAGAAAAUGACGGUACCUGACUAAGAAGCCCCGGCUAACUACGUGCCAGCAGCCGCGGUAAUACGUCGGGGGCAAGCGUUAUCCGGAUUUACGGGGUGUAAAGGGAGCGUAGACGGCUAAUCAAGUCAGAAGGGAAAACCCAGGGCUCAACCUUGGGACUGCUUUUGAAACUGGGUAGCUAGAGUGCAGGAGAGGUAAGCGGAAUGCGUGGUGUAGCGGUGAAAUGCGUAGAUAUUAGGAGGAACACCGGUGGCGAAGGCGGCUUACUGGACUGUAACUGACGUUGAGGCUCGAAAGCGUGGGGAGCAAACAGGAUUAGAUACCCGAGUAGUC
rnacentral:rRNA from 1 species